UCUGUUUUUAUAUUUAUUGCUUACAUAAGUAAAUAUAAUAAACUUUAUGUUAAAAUACUUAGCUUUUUUUAAAAAAAUGUUCUUUUUAACAAAAGACCAGUUAAGAUUUCUUCAUUUCCUUCACUUUAUUUAAUUUGUGUAAAAAGCUAUAUUAAACUGGGGUAGGGGGUCUUCAGACAAUUAUUUGCAGAGCAUAAUCUUGGCUUAAGACCUAAGACAAAAGCUCAGAUAUGAAUGAAACAGUUGCUGGCUCAAAACCCAUCUUUAGGGAUUACUGUUAAACUAGAAAAUCUUCAAUCAGCCAUGAUUUCUUUUUUUAUCCGUUAUGUUUCAUAGUUUGAAGUCUGUUUAAGAUUAUGCUACAGCUCAUGUUUAUUUUUUUAGUAAAUAAAAAGUCCAUUAUGUUUGGGUGCUAUAAAAAGAAGAGCAAAGGAACUGUUUGUUGGGGCAAAACAUCUUGGUCUGUUUAGUUGAGAUACAGUCAUGUGAAUUUAUUUAUUUAUUAGAUUUAUGUGCAGUUCAUCUUGUCUAGGAUAGAAUUACAAUAUUAUACAACAAAUGAUAAAUUUAAAAAAUCUUAAGGUCAACUCUAACAUGUGGAGGGUAAGAAUGGAUUUGUUCUCCUACAUCUGAAACUAGGAUGAAAUUUAGUAAGGCAAAGAAACCUUAUAGAUGGGUGAUAAAACUUCAAAUCAACAUACAAGUUCAUAUUUGUUACUUAAAAUGUUAAUUCACAUUUCAUUUUAAAAUAACUUUUUUUACAUCCCUAGAACUUAUACAGUUUUUCUGAAAUUGAAAUUAAUGAAUUUACAUUUCUGAAACAACUCCUUGGUUUUGUUUUUUUUAAAGAAAAUCUAUUGUAUCUUUUUCAUUUCUGCUUUAUAUUAGGAAAAUAUUUUUGGUUGAUCAAUUCCAAAAUUUCUAGUUUUCUGGCUGUAUGUUUUGCGAGAAGAUUUCAACUUCUGCUGCAAUUUGACAGUGCAGUGAAACUGGAAGGAAUAAUCUGUUUCCAUACUACCGUAGUCUUUACAGCAGGCAAAAGUGGUGAUCAAAUAU